UCCCCACAUCGGCGGGGCCGGCGCCGCCGCUGGAGGACGAAAAUCUUCUCCUAGAGAUCCUGCUCCGCCUCCCCCCCAUUACCAUCCUCGCUCCCCUGAGCUUCCCUCGUCUGCAAGCUUUGGCGCGGCCUCGUCUCCGACCCCAAAUUUCUUCGUCACUUCCGCGCCCACCAAUGCAAACCCCCGCUCCUAGGCUUUUUCGUCAGAGGCAUCGACGGGCCCUCAUUCACGCCCACGCUGGACACGCCCGACCGCAUCCCCGCGGCGCGGUUCUCGCUACCGCAGAGCCGCGGGGAGAGCUGGGCCUUCGUCGGCUGCCGCCACGGCCUCGCCCUCCUCAUCAACCAUACGCGUCUCAUGCCGUCGUUUGGGACCCCAUCACCGGCCACCGGCGCUGCGUGGCCUUUCCACCGGGCAUCCACACCUACCAUUGGGUCCGAAGCGCGGCGCUGCUCUGCCCUUCCGGCACAGACCACGUGCACGGCCACGACUGGGCUCGCGCCCUUUCAAGCUGGUCUUGGUGGGCGUCGGCAUGAAUGCUGAACCCUCUGCAUUUGCUUGCAUCUACGAUUCAGAAUCCGGUGAAUGGGGAAAUAUCAUCUGAGCAGGUACUGCACAGCAUGUUACUUAUGCAAUGCGUGCCAGCAGCGUCCUGGUUGGGAAUGCACUUCAUUGGUUGCUUAUUGGGGAUGGAAUUCUCAAAUUUGAUUUCGAGAUGCAGCGCUUAGUGGUGAUCGAGAGACCAUCAGUAGUCUCGUGUAUCCGCUUUCAGAUAUUGCGGACACAUGAAAGUAGGCUUGGCUUUGCCAUGUGGACAGAAGUGGGCAUGGAAAUAUGGGAGAGAAAGAGCAAUUCAGAUGGUGUCCUCAGAUGGGCGCUUCAGCAGAUCAUCCAACUUGACAAGCUCCUUCCACUAGGACCAUCGAGAUGUAGAGGUUAUAUAGCGGGGUUUGAUGAGGACACCAAUGUGAUAUUUCUGUCAAUGUAUACUGGCCGUUCCUUCAUGAUCCAACUCGAGUCGAUGCAACUCAGAAGUAUUUCUGGAACACAUCACGACCACUUUUAUCCCUACACAAAUUUCUUUACUGCAGGCAGAGGGAUUGGUGAUGGAAAUGAUGGGGUUAAAAUUUUGUACAAUACAUGAGACGAUCUUCCUGAAGGAUCUGCUGAUGUGCUGUGUCGACUGAAAAGGAUCCCUCUGCGCUUUUGAAGUGCCAACAUGAAGAAUUUCCUAUGUUUCGUGACCCUGAUACUAUUGAUGUGGUAAAGGGUGAAUAUGGCCAUCUUGCAACUGUCAACCAUGGCGUGUGCUUUAAAAGUCUAGUUUCGGUUGAAUCCACCAUAAUAACGGUUUAUCCUUGUCAAAUUUGAGGACCAGCCAAAAUCUGAGUUCACUUUGCUUAACGCGGUAAACCUGAACAUUUCCAUCUUGGUCGGUGUCUCUGUCCUGACCCGGCGGGGUAACCGGGUUCUGCUGAACCGUUUCGCUGUUUGAUCUGCUGCCUAUGCCACAUGCUUUCAGUCUGAUUUUCAGACACAA